CUUAUAACUUAAAUUUUACACUGUGGUGUUUCUACUCUUGCUUAAGUGAAAGAUCAGAGUUGUUCUUCUGCAACUGACCUGAUCUGAUUUGAAUAUACUACAACAGUGUGUUGCUGCAACAAACAACAAAACAUGCUGCAUUUUGUGGAACAGCAGCAACUCUUUUUUUCCCCUUUCUUUUUUGACCAGAAUAACUUUUGCUGUCUUGCUUUUACUGCAGCCACCACUCCCUCCACCUACACAGAACAAAAUCCAAAAAGGAGCAAAUUCGGGCAUGUUUUCCAGAGAGUCGUCACAAGUCAUUCUGGGAAAUGUAGGAAACGGCUAACCGGAGUGAAAAGGUUAACAGGAAUAAAAGAGGGAACAUUGGAGCCAUUCGCCGUUGCUCAUUCUUGUCCACCAUGAAAAACAACCUCAGCAGUCCUGAAAAUCGCCCAAGGGACAAUUUCUCCUUGACCCUGCAGGCCGCUUUAUUUCAAAGAACUCCUCCACAAUGGGAUCUCUCAUUGCACAUGGGAGUAUUUACCAAUGCAACACAGAUGAAAAGACCUCCCUCCCCUCCUCUCCUCCACCACCUCUCUUUUUUUUUCCUGCUUCUGUCUCUCUGUUUCCCGCUCUGAGUCUGGAUUGAUUUA